AUUGAACGCUGGCGGCAUGCCUUACACAUGCAAGUCGAACGGCAGCACGGGGCAACCUGGUGGCGAGUGGCGAACGGGUGAGUAAUGCAUCGGAACGUACCUUUCAGUGGGGGAUAACGUAGCGAAAGUUACGCUAAUACCGCAUAUUCUGUGAGCAGGAAAGCAGGGGAUCGCAAGACCUUUCGCUGAUUGAGCGGCCGAUGUCAGAAUAGCUAGUUGGUGAGGUAAAGGCGAACCAAGGCGACGAUCUGUAGCGGGUCUGAGAGGAUGCUCCGCCACACUGGAACUGAGACACGGUCCAGACUCCUACGGGAGGCAGCAGUGGGGAAUUUUGGACAAUGGGGGCAACCCUGAUCCAGCCAUGCCGCGUGAGUGAAGAAGGCCUUCGGGUUGUAAAGCUCUUUCGGCCGGGAAGAAAUCGCACGGGCUAAUACCCUGUGUGGAUGACGGUACCGGAAUAAGAAGCACCGGCUAACUACGUGCCAGCAGCCGCCGUAACAC
rnacentral:rRNA from 1 species